AUAUUAUUUUGAAACGUGCUAUAAUAAUUUUUAAUGCUGACUCACAGAGUCGCCAUUCGACUGCGAAGGGUUAAUCCUUGUUCGAAAAGCUUUCCUAGCAUUAAAUGAUUCUAAAUUAAAUUAAAUUGAAUUAAAUUAAACGAUUUCCCAGCAGAAAUUAGUUGCCAAGCUCCUCGUUGCAUUUGCAGAGCGAAGUAUUUGCAGUGAGACAUUAUUGCCAAAAUGUUGGCCAUAUAUUUUAGAGCGGGCCCAUUUUAGGAAAGAUUCCGAUGUUCCGAAAGAUCGGAAGAUCGGAACGGCCGAGCCACUUAUCUCGAAAGCGGUGCGCCUUUGCCGUGCAGAAUGAAACAGUGUCAAAGUUAAAUGUUGAUAUUACCAAGUCCUUAUUCAGGAUUCUAAUUUAUCUUGACUGGAGGCAAUGGCGCAGCCCAUCCCAGCUGCCAGAAUUGCACAGCGGCAGUUAGCAUCGCGGCGCGAUGCGGCGCGCCGGUUUCUCUCUCUCUCUCUUUCUCACACAGGAGGGUGGGGUCCGCGAAUAAUAGUGAUUUCAGAGAAAGUAUCCAGUCGGUUUCUACGGAUCUAACGAUCCAGAAUCCCGUGGGUAUUAAAGGAAGACAUUGGGUCAGGCCGAUCGCCGGAUCGAGGCCUCCUAAUAUUUCACGCGGCGCGAUUCAAUUUGCAGUGGCCGCGUAUCCAAUUUGUAACGUUCCGCGAGGCGUGAGAAGGCGAAACCGCAGCGCGCCGGCAGCGAGUUGCCGGUGCAGUUGCAGUUGCAGUUCGGCGCAGCGCGGCGCGGCGCGCAUUAGCCGACGCGAGAGAAAAAGAAUCUAUUGAUUAUUGCAAAACGACCGGGUAAUAUCUCUCGCCGCCUACUUACCUACUUAGAGAGGCCUCCGCGGUUUUCGAGGCUGCCUCGAAAAACUGAGUCGACGGAGCCCCUCUUCGCUCGAGCACCGCCAUCCGUUGCCAGCCACGAUAUAUGUUUAUAUAUACAUAUAUAUAAUGGCCUUUUAUCGGCUUCGCGGCCGAACGUUAGGCGAGCCGCCCCGGGGAGCAGAUUUUUCGCGGCGGCUGGAAAACUCGAUUUCGAACGAGCCCGGAGCACGACGAGAAACACAAUGGCGGAAGCGCGGACGUGUUCUCCGACGAUGCGCAACCCUAACUGUUCCGUUGUAUGACGGAAUCCUCAUAAAUUACACUUGGACAAAACAACCGAAAUUCCAGACCACCCGUACCUUGUCCUUAGAAUCAUCGAGCAGGGUUUAUGCGGAUCAAGCCUGAACGAGAGGAUCGCUCGUCCACGGAGAAUUUAUUAGACGAGGAAUAUUGAAUCGCUCGCGGUCGCGCGCGACGACGACGCGACGAAAAUUUUUGCAAUCGCAACGCAAACGCGUCGCGAGGUGAAACGAUGCGCGCCGCGGGACCCGGCCGAGACACGGAGGAUUAGGGUCAAGUGUAUUAGAUUUUGAAGCAAUCGGCAGAGCCGCGUCGAGCGCCCAUCAACGAUACGGGACGUUGCGCCAGCUCUUUGAGACGGCAACCAAACUGUGUACGGUGCUCGCCCCUUUAAUCCGAGCCCCGAUCGACUAUUAUUAGGCGAAAUCGCAUUGUCUCCGGCGGAGGUGGCCGUGUAAUCGGCCCGGGGAGCGCUAAUGGAACUCUCGAGAACGCCCCCACGAAAUCGAGCCCGUCCCAUGGAACCCGGGGAGGAUCUCGCGAGCGCAACCUGCAACGACGAUUCAUCGUCCGCGGAGGGUUGCAGUCACGCGAUGCAUCGACGCCGAAGCCGAACGGACCCCCUGGACGAGUCGAAUAUGCUAAUCCCUUUCAGUAGAAUCGUCUGUUCGUCGUCUGGCGUCCGAAUGCGCCAUACAUUCGGGCGAGCGGCUCUGGGACGCUGAUCGAGCGACGCCAGGAUGCUCGCUUCUGGCGCUGACAGCGUGCAGAAAUUUGCGAACAUGGUUCGAACGCGUUUGAAAUAGUCUACUAAGUUUUGUAAUAAUAUCUCGUACAAUUUGUCCAAGAAAAAUUCGCGAAUAGCAGCUUGAAACCUAUCGACGACUGCGAAAGUACGAAGUACCAUUUUCUCUGUCAACGAACAAUCGUCGCAAUUUCCAAGAUAACAGUGUAAAACAUUUUGUGAAUAUAGUUUAAAUAUAUCUCAGAACGUUUGCAAAGUUUCGCAACAAUA